ensembl:lncRNA
CAAUAAACCAUGAGAACGUUUUAAGAAAAGCAUGCGCGUGUCCCCGCCCCCUUAAGCGGAGCCGUUCGGGGUGUUAUGGUGGAAAACACAAAAGCUUCUGGGGUGUUUUUUGAGGCAAGCUUCGCUCACAACAGCCGAGUCGGGAGGCGGGGGGGUUUGGGGGGGCUUCUGAUGAUCAAAGUGUUGGGAAGUCUGUGCUCAGCAGGUAGAGAAUGUGUUCUGGUUGCUUGAAGGAUCCACUUUAUAAACAAACCCUGAAAACGCAGAAUAUCAUGGCGCCAUAUGGACGUCACUGCGAGGGAGAAGACUGCUGAAAGAGGGAAGAAACAAACACGCAGCAGAGCAAACAGCCCACCGGCGUCUUUCUCAACCACAUUGCUUUUGUGGUUUUAUUAAUACGAACAAACGCGGCCCCGUGGUUCUGAAAUGUUGUUUGGGGGAAUCUUCUUCAAAGCCUUUUGGUCCCCGGACACUCGUCCCCUGUGAUGUCGCGUCUUGUCAGAGGACAAGGACAAGCACAAUGGAUGACACAGAGAGGGAACACGUUACCGCCGACAAAGGACGGGAGCCUGACAUGACCGCCGCGUGUCACGCGGACCCGAGAGCUGACACGCACGACUGUGACUGUUUCAUAAUUCAUCAGAUCUCGCCCGAGAAAUGAAACAGAAGCCGCUGUCAGGAGCGUUUAAUCCGGGCCGCAGCCGGAGUGAAGACGUCGACAGUCUGUCCGCUCCGUUUGACGCUGGGCUCGUCGUGGCUUCUGCCAAACACCUCCGCGGUUAAGUGACGGGGAACGAAGGACGCGUGGAGGGAGGCGGGGCCCGCGAGGGCCCGGGAGACAACGCGGCGCCACGGCCCGGCGUGAGCGCGUCACAGAACUCAAAGGCACAACUUCAGAUGGGAUCACGGUCGCGGCUUCGCUUUCACACUAAAGUCCUUUUGGUCUUUUUUACCGACAUGGCGUCACAUGAUCCGCGGCCACUGAAGCUCACGUGGUCGCCGACGACGAGGUUCAAAGUCACCUGCUGCCACCGCGGCUCCGUCGUGUUCUCCACGAGGUGAGAAAAUGUCUGUUUCUGCUUCAUGACUGUAAAACCCUUUCAUGUCGGCUUGACGAAAACCUCAUUCUAGCAAUUAUUUCCCACAUAACCACAUUUUGAAGUGGAGAUGUAAAACGUUAUCAUGAAUCAUCCCGGCUGUUUGCAAUGGAACAAAGCAACAAAUACAAUUAGUGUUGCUUUUUAUAGCAGGAUUUAAUGAUCUGGACUGAAAUGGCAGCCGCCCCGAGCUAACUGGGUGGAUUGAGGGCGAUGCCGCUCGUGUGGCUCUUUUCAUUGCGCGGGGAAAUCGAUCGGGCGUAUAAAUAUAAAAUCUAUAUCCUCACUAUCUGAAUCUAAUAUCAAACCAUCGAAUAUAACUCGUUGCUAUUGUUUACACGUCACUGACGUGGAACAAACAGAUCAAUUACGCAUCAUCGUGGACUCGCUCUCAGGCACGUACCCGUGUCUAUACAUAGCAGAGGGUUUCUGGACAAAUCCCAGGUCAGGAUCCCUGUCGGCUCUGAGAGGGGCGUGUGUGCACUAGUAAAGACAUAACUGCUUUAAGAGCUCGGCAACGGUUAUUUUCAAAGACGAGAUUGAGUGGUAUUACCCUCUAACCCUAACUGUCCAAGCACUGUUUCUAUGCCAACAGCAGAAGAGUCUUUUCAUUCUGACUGGCUACUGUGUGUGUGUGUGUGUGUGUGUGUGUGUGUGUGUGGACGUUCUGCCGAGCUAUUUCCUAUUCACUGCCGUUUUAAAUUGUACACACCACCUGGCCGCACACGUAACCAUCAGCCACAUGCGUCGGUUCAGCAGCAGCAGCCCCUCCAGCCCGAUGCCUUCACACUCCGGACCCUUCCAGCAAGGAUCCAAUCAGCAUGCGUGAUGUCCAGCGCCUCGUAUUCUCACAAGGCCUCAUUUUGCAGGUCGGGGGGGGGGUGCGAUGAGAGCUCAGCGUUAUAAUUCCUCACUGCUUUAUAGCUUUUUCCAACUCAAUGGUCACCGAGAACAAGUGUGUCACUUAACAAAUGGGCUGCUUUGCUCAAUAUGCAAUUAACCUAUAUCGCUGGAUGGAAGUUUUCAGUCCACCGAGGAGAGUUUUCAUAGAGUGAAUAUCUAAAAAUGGCUGCGUACGGUGCAGAGAUCAAUCCCCUUUCUCUCCAUUGAUUCCAUUAAAAGCCUUUUUGGAGAUUGAUUACACUGAAAGCUUCCCUCCGCUUUAGAUUACAGUUGCACAAUUCCAAUCUCAUUUUUUACAGCCCAUAGAUAUGGGCAUUUAUUCUAUUACGGUGGAAGGUGCAAAGCCUGGAGCCUGAACAUCAGAGACCACCCUUUUCUACCAAUAAUGCUUUAGAUAGUAGAACAUCCGUUUGACUAUUGGUACGGCCCUGCGUUCUCCGAUAAGCGUUAUCACACCUGUCAUUCCUUUUGCCGGAUCAGUUUUCCGCCAUCAAGAUCAAAAUGCGUGUUUCAUGAAAAUCCGACAACAGCCCUGCGAAGAAAGACGAUUCAACCUGUUUUCAGCUCACGGACACUAUUUCGGUGCAGCGGGCGCCGCGUACACCUGCAUUCUUAUUCCGGUAGUCUACCAGCAACAGCAAGUCGAAAAAGCCAAUGAAAACAGAAUGCAUUGCACAUAUAGAUGUAUAUGUAUAUAUACAGAUAUGUAUAUUUCUUUGUGUGCCGUAGCUCUCAUUUCUGAGGCCUUAUCUCUGUAAUGGAAUAUUUAUCAGUAAAGAAUACAGCAAAAAGAAUGCCGCCCCUGGCAACUGAAUGCAUAAAACAUUUAGUUAUUUCCUUGUGUUUGUAUAUCAACCGGAGAAGUGAUGAAGAAUAUUAAGGGCUGUAUAGUGGGGGGUGGGGGGUCCUUACUCAGCACCUUGUGGCCGUUGCCAUCUCCAGGGUUAAAUCUGGGGCAGUGUCCUCGCCGGCCCGCUGAGGGAUUCAUUUAUUCACCGCCCGUUUCUGCUGAGCGUUCCACUCUCUGCAGGUGGGAUGUUUAUGGAUACGUCCUGAAAGUAAUAUGAAAGCAAUAACACCGCACAACAUCUCGGUUAUUUCACUGAAGAAUUGAUCAGAUGUGUCACUUGAAAUUGCAUUUUUUUUGUUGUUGUUUAAUACAGUGUGCGUUCCUCACUGCGGUGCAGCCGUGUGACAGACAGCCGGCUUUUUGCAUGUGGCUGCGCGUGACCUUUCCCUGCUGCGCUGCUUAGUGCAGUCCGCUGGCAGACUUGGGUGUUGUUGCCGAAUGGAUAAGCGCUCAUCCUGAAACCCGUCCCCCGUCCCCUCCAUCCUCCACAUCGCCCGAAGGCUGCUUCCCCCGCUUGGCCAGCCGCUCCUUCCGUCGGGGGGGUUUGGCGGCGCAGGAUGCGUCCUCGCGCCCGAAUGCCGGAUGAUGGAGAACUAAAAGAAACGGGGAAUAAAGUCUACGACUAGUGUGGCCUUAAAGCAUCUUCUUCAUUCAUUGUAGGUGUCAAAACAGUGUCACAUGAUAAUUACAUGUGAGGUUGAACCCCAAAAUGUCUGUAUUUUUAGGCAUUGACAAACCAACUAAAUGAAAUGUGAGUGACAAAGAGGUGCUGUAUAUAAACAACAAUACGCUGUAUGUGCUAACAGACACAUUUUUAAAUCCUCUGGCGGCGUGUUUAAGGCUUAGAAACACCACUUACAGGAGCCCCGCGUUGCUGCGGCUGCACGCGGAGCCUUUGUUGAGUACGAGGGGAGGCGCUCUUCCCUUGCAGUGCUGUUGUUGUCGCUUGUUUCGUUCAGCUUCACUUCCUUAAUUGGAACUCCUGUCACACGGCGGACUGCAAACUUUAGUUUUGCCCGAGUCCACCUUGUAGCUAACUACAUGUAGGCAGCGGAUGGGUUUAGCUGGGCUAAAGGUGUCGAUGCUCUCCAGUGCUUGAAUUAGAAUUUCAUUGAUAGCGUCUAAACGUUUCCAGGCACUGAGUACCGCUGAUUGUUUUGUGAAACCGCAGCAGGACGAGUGGAUGCAGCUGUACGUGAGGAUGUGUGCAGCGCGUUCACCGGCAGCAGCGUGCAAGGUCUCAAACCACGAAUGAAUUCGCUCGUUUCUCCUCCAAACGUUCUUUCGUUCGUCGUUCACGUGCAUGAUGCGUGACCUCUGCCUUUAACCCUCCCCGAGCAUCCGUAGGAGCACCGGGCCGCUGCGAAGCACCCGGGGAGCCGCUUCGGGGGGAUCCGUGUCCUGGUCAAGGACGCUUCCACGCGUGACAGUUUAACCACGAGGUUAAAGGACGAGCCGCUCUCCCCACCGAGCCACAUCUGCCCCAGUUUUUUUUCAGCUCGUGACCUCGACCUUUCCUCAAGCUGCAAGGACACCAACACAUUUUUUGAAGUUGGUUAAUAUAAGAAGUCGUUGGCCUAUUUGUAUUAUGCUUCCACACACCAGGUAGAAAUGGUGGUAAUCUAAUUUUGAGGGGGGUGUUUUUUUCGUGAACUUUUACUGGAGUUUGUUGCAUAAACACGACCCACAAGCAGCUUUGUACCUUUUUAGAAAGAGCGUUUCCCGUCAACGUGAAUAACUAAACAGUUUAGUUGAAUAGAAACGUAAAUUUGUUGCAGAUAUUAUCGCGGCUCGCCAAGCGUUGAAAGAAAGAUAAAUCUUGAAUUGAACUUUUUUUUACAAGGACCAAGGAUUGUGGAGGUUGUCCCCUAAAUGACUUACUGUGAAAUUGGGUUAUGUCUUUGCAGCCAAUAGACAAGAGGAGCAAUUCCAGGAGCAGUAACCCUUUUAGUGUUCAGUCGUGACUGAAGACUCUUUCCCGCAACCUUUCCAUGUUCUGGUCCAAGUAGUCACCUAACCUCGUAGUCUAAUUCCCGUGCACGGAUUUGUACGAAUAAUUGAUGUAAGAACGAAAACGUUAUCAUUUGUCAUUCAAAAUGUCGCUGAUCGGAAUGCCACGAGGGACGUUUUCACACAAAAGGUCAUUUGACUCGUCACCGGGAGAACGACUCAACCCACGAACGCAGCCGCUCAAUGUCUGAACCAAAGAAUAUAAGCAGUCAAACAAAACAUCUCAUUAUCAGGGGUUAUUUUCUUGAGAGCCUCCUCUACAAAUUGGGGACAUGAAACGUCUCGGGGUUCCGGCAGAGAAAGUUCUGUUUAUUAGGGAACACGGACGAGCCGGCGUUGCAUUUUUCACCAGCGAAUCCAUGAAAAAUAAUACAACUGACAAUCUACCGCAUCCAAAACAAAUUAAAUCCCUGCAUGAUGUAUUCAACUGCUGCACCAAUCGAAAGGAGUCUCCCGGAGGCACCGUCCAUCUGCCACGCGGCGGAAGUCAGCGGCGGAGACGACGUUCCUGUCCUCCCUUAAAACAAGCCGUCAAAGCGACGCGGACGCCGCUCCUCAAGCCCUCGAGAAGAGUCCACGUGCUCCCGCGCGUCGCAUCGAGGGCCGACUGGGAGCCACGGAGACCAACCGGUGACGUAGGGGCAGUUCUUUGCAUCAGUGACAGAUCCCUUUCAUAUUGUACCUCCCCCCUCAGAAUGCUGAAUGCUGAAUUUCCCCUUUUAUGAUAUAAAAAUGUUCAGGAUUCAAGUGGUUUCUCCUCUCGCACACCGGCCCCACAGAGCCUCCCUGUGCCGUGUGCUCGGCUGGCCAGUGUGCCGAGUGUCUCGGGGGCUCAGCUCAGGCUUCAGCCGGCCACGGCCACCUGAACUGCUUUCUCCAUUGUGACCCCAGGCGGCACGCGGGCUGCUGCUUCAUUAGGUCGCUGCACCACCUCUAGCCAGGAGGGGAUUUGAAGGCAGGUCCAGUCUGGAUUACCAUAUGGCUCCUCUUGGUCCACGCUGUCAUGAAAUAUGAAUCCAACGCCAAGACUACUGCUCCUAACGCGCUCAGGAGUGUCACACAUAUACGGCCCGACACAGUGGGAGCUCCGGGCGCAUGGAUGUUGCAAAGAUUUCAUCACGCUUGGAAGGCAGGAGUUUUCAUAUUGUGAGUUGCUGGGUCCACGGCGGCGUCCUCUUUGUUUACCUUGGCUCGGUCCGCAUUGUCCUCAUCUCGUCCAGCGCGCAAAACAGACGGGAAAAGGUGUUGGAAAAAUUGCCUUUUGGGGAAAGCUCGUGAAAAUAUUCUCGUUCUCCAUUCACACCCCCUAAAUUAAUGCAGAUUAAUUCAAAUCAAAGGCCUUUGUGGAAACUGCACCUGCAAACAUUUGACUUUUUCACUGCAGAGACACAAUCUGUGUGUCAGGUAAGGAAGUGGUUUAAUCUCUUCAGGCCCAGAGGUGGCUUAAGUGGCAGAGACCAGAUGGUGGAAUCAACAUGCCCGGGAGGCAAACACCGACUGACAAGACAGCCGAGAGUCUUCCAUGAUGAAGUGUGUGCAUUUGAUUUCCCCACUCAUCCCUCUCUCAAACCGGGUUGUUCAAUAUUUUCCAUGAGCAACGAGUCAAAUGAAUGAAAAUGUGCACCGAAAAUAAAUUCACCAUUAAGCGGUCGCGUCGCUCGAUUCCGUCUGUCUGCGUGAUGGACGAGUGCAACAGCUUUCGGAUUCAACUUGACGAACCUCUUCAGUGACAUUUCUGAAAAACAAUAUCCUGAACUGCCGGCCGAAGCGGUGGGACAACCUUCGGGGUGUUGAAUGUCACCAUCUGUCGAGGACCUGCUUAGUCAAAGUCAUUACGGCACGUGGAGUGGAGCUCCUGCUCAUGAGGGCCGCGCUUUAUUGCACAGAAGCUCAGGUGGACCCUGAUCGGAUUUCAGAGGCUCAGUGGGCCGUCGGUGGGAGCGCGUGGUUUCACAUUAUCCACUUCUAAUUGUUGGGCGCACCCAACAAUCCGCUCUGUAAAACACUUGAUUUUUAUUGAUUUAUUUGGCCAAUUAGAUAUCACAUAGUAAAACUACUGUGUUUGUCCGUAAAACAACUUACUGCAAAACAAACGCUAAAGAUGUCUUCUAUUCCUAAUGCUACGGCAGUUGGAUCAAACUCCGCCGUACCUGCGUAGAUUUGACCUUUUCUCAGGAAUUUACAGUCUGCUUAUUAAUCACGAAGCCGCAGCAGCAGAUUUUUUUUUUUUUAUGGCUACUCUGAUAAACUCAACACGCUAACGCACGUUUCUGCAAACAUCUGUCUGCUAUCCAGCUGACGCGACAACUUUCACAUGCACUUUAGUUGUGGAGCUCUUCUCGGUCACCUUGACCAGCUACAAUUUAUUUAUUUCACACUCAAUCCGCUUCGGUUCAGUCAGCUAAAACAGCCCUAAGGUGUACAUUACACGUGGUCUUUUAAUCCCUUUGUAAUAAAAGUAUGUGCGUCCACGGACCACAGCAGUCCAGCGCUUUGAGAUGCUGCGAUUGGUUCCGUCAGACUCGACGUGGUGAGCAGAGUUUGAUUAAGUUUCCUGGUGUCGGCGUUCGCUCUGCGGGGCGCUGCGUCGUUCAUCCCCGCCUCAGGUGUCUGUCACACACCAGCAGGAUGCGUCGAUUCGCCGUAGCCAAACAUAUCUCCGAGCAGAUAGUUCCACCGGGGGGGGGGUUAUUGUGUUCCUCAAAACCAACUCUCAGCCAUGGCAUCCCGCUUGAUGUGCCUCUCAGGUGGCCUUCAUAUUGCCUGAAUGGAUUUUGAGCGGUGAUGUGGAACGAUUCCUUUGAGAAUGACGCCCUUUCAAAUGAAGAUAAAGUCAUUAGACAGCAGCAGCUGUCCUUGGAUCUUUGCUUUUUCCUCAACUGCGCUGGAUGAAAACGGUGUGCCGCGUGUGUUUCAAGAUGCUCUUAGGAGUGAUGCUCAUUCUCAGCGUGUUCGCAUUAAGAGCUGUUUUUCUCCAUUACUGCUUAAGGACAGUUGUCAGUUUGCCACUUGUCAAAUUUAGUUGGAUCUUUUCAGAUGAACCUUCAUCAACUUUGAAUAUUGACAUUUUAAAAGGCCCCUCGCCAACAUUCGUCCUCAUGCACACACGGGCACCGAUUGCACGGCUCAUUUCUCGAAUGACUGCGGAACGUAUGCAGCCUCCCACCGAGUGGAUGUAUUUACACGCACCUCGUCUCGUCUCGGGGAUUCCUGCCUGGCGCUCUGGCAUUCUGGCGAUUUGUUACAACCUGGCACAGAGUCUACGUCGUACCUGGAUGUGUCUGCUGUAUCUCCUCAUGCAGAAUGGCUUCUGCUGUCCCACAGGUCUGCAACAUGCUCGUCUCUACAGGUGCAGCCGGCGCCGUUGGCUUGGAGGAGGAGGAGGAGGAGGAGGAGUGGAACAAAUGUGGUUCUGUUUUUUUGGUUAACCUUUUGAUUUAACAAAAGCACGUCAAUACCCUUCUAACUGUUUGUUUGGUUUGGAAUCACACGUUUGGACACGUCACAGAAAAUAUUGUGAUUGAGAAAUUCUUCAGGUUUUAAAUGUAACGGUGUAAACGUCUCUUGUAUUUUUGUUGUUUUGUGAAAGGGGCCAAAUGAUUUGGACAACAUGGAAGUCGAAUUAAGCUAUUAUUGUUUUCCGGUACUGAAUUUGGAUCUUGGCGAGCACAGAUUGUUCCCUUUACUCGUUCUCUGAAGUGAAUUCUAUUUGUGUCGUGCGUUUUGAUGACCCAAUGUCCUUUUUAUCUUACUACUCAACAUAUUUAAGCAACACUAUAAAAUGCACCACAACAAUCUGUCCACUGACUUUGAGAUUCAAAGGAAACCCUUUGAUGCUACAGCAUGAAGUCUGCUUUCAUGAUUAACCAAAGUAAAAUAUCUGACCCGAAACACGUACAGACAUUUUGGUAUUUUGAUUUCUGCGUCCGGGUACGCUAGCGACUCCUGGCACAACCAGAGCAGGUCCAUAAAAGAGAGGACUCCCCAGUUUGGAUGUCGAAGAACUAGUCCACACAGAACCUCGACCCUGUCCAGCCCGUCUGGCGCCGACGGGAAGACCGCCGCCGAUAGACAAAGCGUCAGAGCUGGACCGUUGAAUGCGUUGAAUGGGAGCCAGAAGAGCGCAGGCUGUCACAGCAGAUUAAUACCCAUGAACGUGUGGGUGCCAUGUUCAGGUCUCUACAGAUUAAUACCCAUGAACGUGUGGGUGCCAUGUUCAGGUGUCCACAGAUUUAAACCCAUGAACGUGUGGGUGCCAUGUUCAGGUGUCCACAGAUUAAAACCCAUGAACGUGUGGGUGCCAUGUUCAGGUCUCCACACACCUCGCAGCCUUUUGUUUCUAAUUGCAAUGCACCGUUGUAAAAGUCGACGCUCUCCUUUUCCCCCUCCCAGUUUCUCUCUGUCCUCCGUACGUCUCGCUGAAUAUGUUCAUUUCACAGUGCUGAAGGACUUGUGCUCUCAGUGAAUUUUUUUUAUUUUGUAUGGGGCGAGAGGCUUUGUGUUUGCACAGUUUCAACAAACGCACCAAGAAAACCAGCCGAGGAGCCCGGAUGAUGUGAGAAAGCCUCCCAGGACGAGGCGGCGAGGGAGCGCGGCGGUGGGUAAAAUGAAAGCAUCGCUGUUCGCAUUCAGACAGACGGAUGGCUAAACACGCAGGUGAGUCACGUCCGGAGGAGACGACGCGGGGGGAUCUCAGUGUGCAGGUGAAUGUGCUGAACGGAGAGCAGCAGCACAAUGUUGACAACUGAAAUAAUUUGGUUUCCAGUGCAGCUUCAUCCGUUUUGAUCAUUUUCUUGUAGCAUUUGUCACAAGAUGGCUUGCUGGUUUAUUGUCACAACAGGCAUCCUGAAGUGUAUUUCUUCCACUCAGUCUGAGGAAAAACCUGCAGGAGAGUUUCAGGAGGGUGUAGAGAAUGCAACAUUCAGAUCCACAGUAACAUCACUACAAAACACUGCAGCUUAAUUCUGACAAAUGCUCUUCUGUUCAUUAAGAAUUGAUAAAAAUUGAUAAAAAAGCUACUUGAGGAUUUAAGACAUCAUCCCUCUGUUAACUUACUCAUCAGCAAGUAUUAGAAAAGUAAGGGUAAAUCUUUUCUGACGUCUCAUAUUUCGGCGCCGUAUUCUUUGCCUCCACUUUUCUCUUAACAUUUCUACCUCGCGCCCUCGACGUUGGGGAGGCUUUUGACCUGCGACACGCGCAGCCGAUGCUUUCACAAUGUCAGACGCAGAAGCGGCGUGAAAGCCGCCACAGUUCAGGUUGGUUUGCCGAGGCCGGAACCUAAGUGGCUGCUUUUCAUGGGAGCACUUAGCCGUGAAGUCAAUAUGACUCAGCCUGCCCCUCCGACUUGGCACGUCAAAGUAAGUGAGCACACGGGUCCUUAAAGAGGCUUCGACGUGAUGUUUCCACCGCCUCCCUGCCAGCCUCGGUCGGCCCUAUUAAUUGAUCCAGUUAAAUAAAGAGCAUCAGUCGGUCCGCCGGGACCGGAACGCUUUCAAGUCCUUCUGACAAUCAGUAGAAAAUCCCUUUUGAUUUCUUCCGUUUAUGUGCAUGACUUGUGAUAAUUACGUCGCACAAUUACCUUGAACUGGGCGUCGUUUGAGACGUUGCGCUCAGGUGAAACCUCGUUACCCCAACGCGGCAUUCCGCCCACCGGAACGCUGCAUCUAAUCUUAAAAAGCUGAACCGGAGUGAGUCUGUAUUGAUUGGGAGCGCUGAGAGCAACAACGGGCGCUUUACCCACUAAUGGGAUUGUGUUCUUUGUUUGAACACAGACGCACACCUCUGACAUGACUUCGUUUCAUUUGCAAUCAAACGGGCGGUUUCCGCCGGCGUCGCGGUGAGUCGGCCCUCUAAUGUGAGCCAAGCCCCAAGCGCUCCUCCGUUGUUGCCGCGCCGCCGCAAUUAAAUUAAAUGUUCUAAUUUCACCCAACACUUGUUGAGAUUGUUGUCUGCGAUUUUCUUUUUAUUUCGAAUUUCUUACUCUGAUUGUUUGGUCUCCGAGCAGCUCCGAUCGCCUCGAGUAGUAAAGUGUCACUCUUCAUGCUUCAUCUUACUGAAGCCCGAUGAAAUGCACGCGGAGAGGCAGAAGCUGGAUUCUAUUAAAAGUUUUUAACGCUUGAUUGUAUCCUUGAUGGCGUUGAAAAAGGAGUCUCUGAGGGCGAAUAUUACUCCAUCGUGCUGCUGCCGCUCGGGCCAAAUGGUGUCAAUUAGUAAUCAAUUGAGAAUCCGCUGUCCUUUGUUGGCGCGGCAGUAAUCACAGACGUCGUAGAUCACGUUUGUCUCCAUCGGGGCGUCUGGAUGCUUUUCUUCUUCUCUGGUUCUCAACAGUUGAUGCACUACAUGAGAUCUAUAUUUAUAUUCAUCAUGUCGAUAUGCAGGACCUGUUUGACAUUAAAUAUCAAUUUAAAUCAAUGCUGCUUUUUAGAUGACCAAUAAUGUAUUAUUAUAUGUUCAGCUCCCGAAGGCUUCAGCUGACGUUUCUUAUUAUGUCUAUUCUAUAUCUGUCUAUUUUACACAAAUACGACGUUGUCAUGGAACAGCUUGAGGGGGCCGAAUCCGGCCUGGUUGAGUCUUUUCAUUUGGCUUUUUACCAGAACAUGUUUGCCUAUGUUAAUAUUGCAGAACCCACUAUUUGUUGUUUUAUUAUAUUAUAUAUAUAUAUACGCCUGUAUUCAUGUCUCCAACAUGUUGUAAACCGUACAAAUAUAUCUGAAGAAUGAAGUGUCUUCAUGUCAAAGACUUCUUCUAAUCAAGCGUGUACAUAGAUACAAAUCAUCACUGCUUGUAUCAUGUUGUUAUCUUAUCCCGAAUAGCAAUGACUAAAUAUCAUUUAGAAACUGAUGGAAAAUAAAACAACAAAAGAAUCAGCUUUUAAUAUUUCACAAAUGCGUAAAUCUUCUUUCACUGAGUGGAAGGAGAAUUCUACGGGAAGCGUUUUAAUGGUCCCACACUUCCUCUCAUGUCAGCUGAAGAGCCCCAACUCCACUUCUGCUGGAUUCCAUGGAUGGGUCCAUCUCCUAAUG